GCCCAACUAUAACACAACAAUUAAAUAACUUAUUGUUCGCCAAAUAACUACGAGUAAAAACUUAAAAUUUAAAAGACUUGACGGUGCCUCAAACCAACCUAGAGGAGCCUGUCUAAUAACCGAUACCCCACGAUAAACCCGACCCACUCUAGCCUACAGUCUAUAUACCGCCGUCGCCAGCCUACCUUGUGAAAGAAAUAAAGUGAGCCUAAUAGCCCCACACUAAUACGACAGGUCGAGGUGUAACUUAUGAGAGGGAACAAGAUGGGCUACAUUUUCCAACACAGAAAAUACGAAUAAAUCUAUGAAAUAAGAAACUGAAGGCGGAUUUAGCAGUAUGCUGAGAACAAUAUGCCCAGCUGAAACCAACGCAAUGAGGUGCGUACACACCGCCCGUCAUCCCUGUUAACCACUAAAAACCAUAUAUAAACAAAAAUCACUAAUCCUUAAAGCAGGGCAAGUCGUAACAUGGUAAGCGUACUGGAAAGUGUGCUUAGAUA
rnacentral:rRNA from 1 species